rnacentral:rRNA from 1 species
CCGGCGAACGGGUGCGUAACACGUGAGCAACCUACCGAAGUGUGGGGGAUAGCCGGUCUAACGGCCGAGUAAUACCGCAUACGAUUCCGAAGAGGCAUUUCUUUGGAAUGAAACCUACGGGGUACUUCGAGGGGCUCGCGGCCUAUCAGCUAGUUGGUAAGGUAACGGCUCACCAAGGCAACGACGGGUAGCUGGUCUGAGAGGAUGGCCAGCCACAUUGGGACUGAGAUACGGCCCAG